UUUUUUAUGUGUUUUCAGUCCAUUGCGUUUUAGAAAACAGACAUUUUAAGUGCAUUCUGGCCAUUGCGUUUUACAAAUAAGUCAUUUCUUUGUGUUUUUUGUGCAUUGCGUUUUAGGUAAAACACUUUUCUAUGUGUUUUCUGGCCAUUGCGUUUUUUUUCAUUGCGUUUUACGUGGUUUUUCUAUUGCGUUUUACGCAACUGGGUUAA
rnacentral:lncRNA from 1 species